rnacentral:rRNA from 1 species
UACGUAGGGCGCAAGCGUUGUCCGGAAUUAUUGGGCGUAAAGAGCUCGUAGGCGGCUUGUUGCGUCGGAUGUGAAAGCCCGGGGCUUAACUCCGGGUCUGCAUUCGAUACGGGCAGGCUAGAGUGUGGUAGGGGAGAUCGGAAUUCCUGGUGUAGCGGUGAAAUGCGCAGAUAUCAGGAGGAACACCGGUGGCGAAGGCGGAUCUCUGGGCAGUAACUGACGCUGAGGAGCGAAAGCGUGGGGAGCGAACAGG